UUGGAGGGCAAGUCUGGUGCCAGCAGCCGCGGUAAUUCCAGCUCCAAUAGCGUAUAUUAAAGUUGUUGCAGUUAAAAAGCUCGUAGUUGAAUUUCGGGAUCAAUGUUUCGGUCAUGCCGUUGGUAUGUACUGAUAUUAUUGAUUUCUCACCUUCUAAAGAACCGUAAUGCCAUUGAUUUGGUGUCACGGGGAAUUAGGACUGUUACCUUGAAAAAAUUAGAGUGUUUAAAGCAGGCUUACGCUUGAAUACAUUAGCAUGGAAUAAUGAAAUAGGACAUCCGAUUCUAUUUUGUUGGUUUCUAGGAUCGAUGUAAUGAUUAAUAGGGAUAGUUGGGGGCAUUAGUAUUCAAUUGUCAGAGGUGAAAUUCUUGGAUUUAUUGAAGACUAACUACUGCGAAAGCAUUUGCCAAGGAUGUUUUCAUUAAUCAAGAACGAAAGUUAGGGGAUCGAAGACGAUCAGAUACCGUCGUAGUCUUAACCAUAAACUAUGCCGACUAGGGAUCGGAUGAUGUUAAUUUUUUAAUGACUCAUUCGGCGCCUUACGGGAAAC
rnacentral:rRNA from 1 species